UCGGCAGUUUUCCGAGAGCCAGGCCCGAGCGAUGCUUCGAGGCGCACGUGGGUGGCUCCCUGGAGACGCGUGUCUCGAGUUAAUCCCCCUCUCUCCCUAAUCCUCAGUCCCCUCGUCCGCCGCUAAAAUCUUAUCCCCUCGUCACCUUCCUCCUCUCACCCGCGGCGCACCGGUCCGGGCACGGAGCUUGGUGCGGCCACGGCAGCGAGCUGGGCGCCGAUUGACGGCGGAAGCGCGAGCCGGUGUGGGGCGGCCAUGGCAGCAAGCGGGCGCGGUGCGGUCACGACAGCGAGCGGGCGCGGCGCGACCACAGGAGGGAGCCGGGCAAGGGCACGGCCAGGGCAGUGAGCUUGGCGCGGCCACGGCAACGAGCUGGGCGCGGCGCGGCGGACGACGGAGGCUCGGGCCGGUGCGUCGCGGGCGCGGCCUCGGCCAGGGAAGGGAGCUUGGCGCGGCCACGACAGGGAGCGGGCACGGCCCGACCAUGAUAGCGAGCUGGACGCGGCACGGCUACGGCGGGAACCUGCUCGCGGAGCGGCCAAGAGCAGGGCAGCGGCGGGCCGGCGCGGCUUGGCGCGAGCUGGGGCGGCACGGGCGAGUGCAGCGAGGACUGACGCGGACGAGCUCGCCGGCCGCAGCUUGAGGCUCCUGCCCGUGUGUGUACGAGUACCUGCGCGACCUGUUUAGGUAUUCGAUGGCCAGUACAAGCCUACAAGCGCCGGCGUCGGGCGAGCUUGUACUUCUGAAUUUUACACGAUGAGUACUUCAUGCCGACCAUCACACUCAGCUUCGAGGGCGGGGCGAGCCUGGAGCUCAGCUUCGUGCCGCGGGAUGCCGAGCUCGGCGGCGGCGAUGGCGGCCCAUGGGUGGACACCGUCGAACACAGACGGCGUCAGCGGGGUGGCGGCGCAGGAGGUCGGCGAAGAGCGGCGCGAGGAGGUUGACGGGGGCGGCGAACGGGCUCCGUGGGCGACGCGAGGAGCAGAGGAAGCUCCGGCGCACUCAACGUGUUUGACGAGAUGAGAAGCCAAACCUGGUGGCUGUUAAGUUUUGUUGUUAACUCCUAAUCAUAUGCAUGUAUGCAACCAAACGCCGGGUCAAAAUUGCAUCUCAAUGACAAGACCUCCUAAUGCAGGCAACCAAUCAAGUUGA